AACUGUCCUUGUAACAAACUAUCUGUAUAUAAAAAAAAUAGAAGUCUAUGUAAUGUCCCCAUUUAGAUAGCUAAGUAAACCUGUGUGUGUGUGUGUGUGUGUGUGUGUGUGUGUGUGUGUGUGUUCGAGAGUCCUUGGCAUCAAAAGUUUGUUCGAGAGUCCUUGGCAUCAAAAGUUUCAAUAAAAAUCUCCACUAGAUGGUGCUGCUGCUUCAAUUGGUAGAUCAAUAAUGUAACUGUUAGAUAGCUUCCCCCUCUUGAAUCAGUUUAGCAUUCACUGGUUUCUUCUGUCACUAUUAGAGAAAAGAGAUGCCACUAGAAUGUGAUGAAAUAUGCAGUACUUCUCUAUCAUGUUGAAAGCAUUAUCGUCUAUAUAUAUUCUCCACAGAUGGGCCCUGGAUUGAGGACUGUGGGAGGGGCUGGAUCAACAUGUUGGAGAACAGCCCAGUCUACGCUUCAGUUCCACUGCCCUGCAUCUUUCAAUACUUUUUUUCAGAAAAAAGUAAUACAGGUCUGAAACAACGUGGGUGAAUAAAUCGUUACUGAAUUUGAAUUUUCGGCUAAUGAUUCCUUUAAUAAGUUUGGGAACAGAGUACUUGUGUAUAGCAUUACUGUAUAUAUGCCCUACAUGUAGUAUCCAGGACAUGUAGAAUAAGUAUAUCUGUAUAUUGAAGUUGUUUAAGAUGAAACACUUAAUAAAAGCACUAACUGAGGUUGAGUUUCACAUGAAUUUCUUCUUUUAGUAAGAUUGAUUACUCUCCAGAGAUGGCGAGGCAGCAGGCCAGACCGCAGAUAUAUAGCAGUGAACAUCACAUAGAACAGUGAGAACAGAGAAGCAUCACAUCAACAAGAAACGGCACAGAGAAGACUGAGAAAGGUUGUAAUUACUUCACUUUGCUUUGUACGUUUUUAGAAGAAAGAGAGAAAAAUAAAGUUUGCACCAUCAGAGUUGAAUGCAGACAGCCUAAGAAUAGCAGGCUGUCUGAGAACAACCAUCACAUCACGCAGGAACCACAAUCUCUGCCUCUGUUUCUGCGGUACCAGGGAUUAGCCGUGACUCACCAUGUUAGUCCUUACUGUUUUCCUCCUCGUCUGAGAGCGCAGUCUGGACAUCAGUCACUCCUCACUGUGUGUUUACCCUGCUGGUACUCCUGCAGGAACAUUGGAGUGUGUGUGCGUGUGUUUUCAAUCACGGUAGCAUAAUGAACCAAAGCUAUUAUUCAUGCAAAUUACAUAUAAUUUUAUUAAAGAACCACUUUCAGAACAUUUAGGUCAUGCACUGGGGGCAUCAAGUCUUGAUUUCUGCUUUUGAAGUGACCCACAAAC
rnacentral:lncRNA from 1 species